GCGUUUGUGGUUUAGUGGUAAAAUCGAUCCUUGCCAUUAGUGUAUCCCACACAAACUACUUGGAUUGGCCCCGGGUUCGAUUCCCGGCGAACGCA